rnacentral:rRNA from 1 species
UACUAAAGGAGGCAGCAGUAGGGAAUCUUCCGCAAUGGACGAAAGUCUGACGGAGCAACGCCGCGUGAACGAUGAAGGCCUUCGGGUCGUAAAGUUCUGUUGUUAGGGAAGAACAAGUACCAGAGUAACUGCUGGUACCUUGACGGUACCUAACCAGAAAGCCACGGCUAACUACGUGCCAGCAGCCGCGGUAAUACGUAGGUGGCAAGCGUUGUCCGGAAUUAUUGGGCGUAAAGCGCGCGCAGGUGGUUUCUUAAGUCUGAUGUGAAAGCCCACGGCUCAACCGUGGAGGGUCAUUGGAAACUGGGGAACUUGAGUGCAGAAGAGGAAAGUGGAAUUCCAAGUGUAGCGGUGAAAUGCGUAGAGAUUUGGAGGAACACCAGUGGCGAAGGCGACUUUCUGGUCUGUAACUGACACUGAGGCGCGAAAGCGUGGGGAGCGAACAGGAUUAGAUACCCUGGUAGUCCCCCCCGAAAACGAAGAGUGCUAAGUGUU